rnacentral:rRNA from 1 species
UACAGAGGUCUCAAGCGUUUGUUCGGAUUCAGUUGGGCGUAAAGGGUGCGUAGGCGGCGCGGUAAGUCGGGUGUGAAAUCUCGGGGCUUAACUCCGAAACUGCAUUCGAUACUGACCGUGCUUGAGGACUGGAGAGGAGACUGGAAUUGACGGUGAGCGGUGGAAUGCGUAGAUAUCGAUAAGGAAGACCAGUGGCGAAGG